rnacentral:rRNA from 1 species
GACGAACGCUGGCGGCGUGCUUAACACAUGCAAGUCGAACGGUGAAGCGCCUUCCUUUUUGGUGGGUGUGGAUGAGUGGCGAACGGGUGAGUAACACGUGAGUAACCUGCCCCCUUCUUCUGGAUAACCGCAUGAAAGUGUGGCUAAUACGGGAUAUUCUGGGUCUGUCGCAUGAUGGGUCUGGGAAAGAUAUUGUUUCGGUGGGGGAUGGGCUCGCGGCCUAUCAGCUUGUUGGUGGGGUGAUGGCCUACCAAGGCGGUGACGGGUAGCCAGCCUGAGAGGGUGGACGGUCACACUGGGACUGAGACACGGCCCAGACUCCUACGGGAGGCAGCAGUGGGGAAUAUUGCACAAUGGGCGCAAGCCUGAUGCAGCGACGCCGCGUGAGGGAUGGAGGCCUUCGGGUUGUGAACCUCUUUCGCCAGUGAAGCAGGCCUGCCUCGUUUGUGGGUGGGUUGACGGUAGCCGGAGAAGAAGCGCCGGCUAACUACGUG